rnacentral:rRNA from 1 species
CAGUAGCCGCGGGAAUACGUAGGGUGCGAGCGUUAAUCGGAAUUACUGGGCGUAAAGCGUGCGCAGGCGGUUUUGUAAGACAGGCGUGAAAUCCCCGGGCUCAACCUGGGAAUGGCGCUUGUGACUGCAAAGCUAGAGUGCGGCAGAGGGGGAUGGAAUUCCGCGUGUAGCAGUGAAAUGCGUAGAUAUGCGGAGGAACACCGAUGGCGAAGGCAAUCCCCUGGGCCUGCACUGACGCUCAUGCACGAAAGCGUGGGGAGCAAACAGGAUUAGAGACCCCAGUAGUCCCUGUCUCUUAUAC